GCAGCCGCCGCGGGAAUACGUAGGGUGCAAGCGUUAAUCGGAAUUACUGGGCGUAAAGCGUGCGCAGGCGGUUAUAUAAGACAGAUGUGAAAUCCCCGGGCUCAACCUGGGAACUGCAUUUGUGACUGUAUAGCUAGAGUACGGCAGAGGGGGAUGGAAUUCCGCGUGUAGCAGUAAAAUGCGUAGAUAUGCGGAGGAACACCGAUGGCGAAGGCAAUCCCCUGGGCCUGUACUGACGCUCAUGCACGAAAGCGUGGGGAGCAAACAGGAUUAGAUACCCCAGUAGUCCCUGUCUCUUAUAC
rnacentral:rRNA from 1 species